ensembl:snRNA U6 U6 spliceosomal RNA
GUGCUGGCUUCAGCAGCACGUACACUAAAAUUGGAAUGAUACAGAAAUUAUCAUGGCCCCUGUACAAGGAUGACAUGCAAAUUCGUGAAGCCUUCUGUGUUUCU